UACGAAGGGGGCUAGCGUUGUUCGGAAUUACUGGGCGUAAAGCGCACGUAGGCGGAUAUUUAAGUCAGGGGUGAAAUCCCGCAGCUCAACUGCGGAACUGCCUUUGAUACUGGGUAUCUUGAGUAUGGAAGAGGUAAGUGGAAUUCCGAGUGUAGAGGUGAAAUUCGUAGAUAUUCGCAAGAACACCAGUGGCGAAGGCGGCUCGCUGGCCCGGUACUGACGCUGAGGUGCGAAAGCGUGGGGAGCAAACAGG
rnacentral:rRNA from 1 species